CUAUUUCGUUCUCUUAUUUCUUAGUAAUUAAAUUAUUGUUUUGGAUGAUAAAAAAUGAACAAAAGGAUUGGAGUUUACCAGUGACAUUCAGAAUUUACCUUUGAACAAUUUUAAGACUGUUUAAUUACUAAACAGAAACUUAAAGGUUAUUAUAAGAAAAACGGAAGUUUACAUAACUCAUCAACGAGUUAGUUCCAUAUCCUCUGCAUCUCUGGCCGGUUCACUCCUGGCGCUGCCGAAACUAAAGCCUUACUCGAUCCACGACAUGGACAACGACGUGGUGAUGGAAACCGAAGAAGAUCGAAUCGAAGAAGAAAUUGAAGAAUGUAUUGAUGAAGAACUAGAGCAAAUGAGUCAUACACUCGACGACUCUGAAGAAGACGACGAUAAAAAACAAUGCAAUGAUUUGACAAAACUAUUCGUCCGGGAGAUCAUCCCUGAAAAUGAUGACGAGUCAGAAAUUGAAGAGGAAUUCGAAGAGAC